rnacentral:rRNA from 1 species
CCUACGGGAGGCAGCAGCUAGGAAUAUUGGACAAUGGGCGCAAGCCUGAUCCAGCCAUGCCGCGUGCAGGAUGAAGGCCUUCGGGUUGUAAACUGCUUUUGUACGGAACGAAAAAGCUCUCUCUAAUACAGGGGGUGAAUGACGGUACCGUAAGAAUAAGCACCGGCUAACUACGUGCCAGCAGCCGCGGUAAUACGUAGGGUGCGAGCGUUAAUCGGAAUUACUGGGCGUAAAGCGUGCGCAGGCGGUUUUGUAAGACAGAUGUGAAAUCCCCGGGCUUAACCUGGGACCUGCAUUUGUGACUGCAAGGCUGGAGUGCGGCAGAGGGGGAUGGAAUUCCGCGUGUAGCAGUGAAAUGCGUAGAUAUGCGGAGGAACACCGAUGGCGAAGGCAAUCCCCUGGGCCUGCACUGACGCUCAUGCACGAAAGCGUGGGGAGCAAACAGGAUUAGAUACCCUGGUAGUCCACGCCCUAAACGAUGUCAACUGGUUGUUGGGUCUUCACUGACUCAGUAACGAAGCUAACGCGUGAAGUUGACCGCCUGGGGAGUACGGCCGCAAGGUUGAAACUYAAAGGAAUUGACGG